rnacentral:rRNA from 1 species
AUCGAACGCUGGCGGCAGGCCUAACACAUGCAAGUCGAAUGGUAACAGGAAACAGCUUGCUGUUUCGCUGACGAGUGGCGGACGGGUGAGUAAUGUCUGGGAAACUGCCUGAUGGAGGGGGAUAACUACUGGAAACGGUAGCUAAUACCGCAUAACGUCGCAAGACCAAAGAGGGGGACCUUCGGGCCUCUUGCCAUCAGAUGUGCCCAGAUGGGAUUAGCUAGUAGGUGGGGUAACGGCUCACCUAGGCGACGAUCCCUAGCUGGUCUGAGAGGAUGACCAGCCACACUGGAACUGAGACACGGUCCAGACUCCUACGGGAGGCAGCAGUGGGGAAUAUUGCACAAUGGGCGCAAGCCUGAUGCAGCCAUGCCGCGUGUAUGAAGAAGGCCUUCGGGUUGUAAAGUACUUUCAGCGGGGAGGAAGGGAGUAAAGUUAAUACCUUUGCUCAUUGACGUUACCCGCAGAAGAAGCACCGGCUAACUCCGUG